GCAAAACCCUCAAACGUAAAGUGUUUAUUCUUCAAGAACAAUAAAGAACAUUUUUGUGAGUUAUGUGUGAUUACAUACCUCAAAAUAUGUAUUUCACAGAAUCACAGAAUGGCCCAGGUUGGCAGGGAUCUCUGAAGAUCAUCCAGUCCAACCCCCCUACCGAGCAGGACCACCUAGAGCACGUUGUGAGGGAUGGCAUCCAGGUGGGGUUUGAAUAUCUCCAGAGAAGGAGACUCCACAACCUCUCUGGGCAGCCUGUCCCAGUGUUCUGCCACCCUUCCAGUGAAGAAGUGCCCCCUCAUAUUCAGCCAGAACUUCCUGUGCUUUACAUUCAUGCAUAUGGAUUACUUAGCCUAUUGAAUAAUGCUGCAUUCACAUCAUUGCACAUCAUCAAGAAUGGAAUUAAGACUACGUGAUGCCUUCCUUAUUAUCAUUUGACUUUGCAGUUACCUUACAAGGCUUGGUGUCAACAAAGCCUGCCUCCCCCGCUGCCUCACAAAUACUUCCCUGAUACACAAAUACUCUUAGACCCUCCUGCACACACACUUCAGAUUACACACUUAGAAAUUAAUGCUCUACAAGGCUAAUUGUAUCUAUCAGCCCAUUAAGUGAAACCACAUGCCCUUUCUUAUGUGAAAGCCAGACCUCUAUGAUGUGUAUACCUUUGUCUCUCCUGGAAAUUAAUAAAAAAAUUAGUGAGCCCUUUUAAGAUGGUUUCUGUCUGCAUAGCCACUUCUGCUUAAUUUAAACAAGGAAAUAUUUUUAUUUAUUUAUUUAUUUUUUCAGCUGCAAUAGGGCUUUGAAAAGUCAGUGAAUCCUGGUACAGUGCAUUCAAAAGCCAGCCUCUGAUAUUCUUUCUACCUGUAGUGUUCCCAGGGUUGCUUACAGAAAUCAGGGUAAGUCCUGUAAUUAUAAAAUGCAGGAGGGUCUUCUGCAGAGUACUACAAUACAGAAGCCUUUAAUAUGUUUAUCACACUUCUCUAAAAGUUAGGUGAGAUCUUGCUUCAAGUAACAAAUUGAAAAUUUUGCUCCAAAACUUUGUUUAAUUUUAACCUUAGCAUCCCUCAACAUCAGUUAAGUAUUUUUCCUUGCCCUCAGCUUUUAACUCACCUGGAAGAUUAUAGGCGCAGUUAUGUUCCUCUUACUUUUUGUUUUGUAAGGCUAGACUCCCAGACCAGUGUGUUGUUUUUUUUUUCCAGCUCCCAAGACUGGGUCAUCAUUUCUCCUACCAGCACAGCACUGCUUCACUGUAUCUCUUUGGACUUAUCAUUCUUGAAUGAGGAUGGCACAAAUGAUACACAAUGCUUAGAUGAUGCCUUGCAGUAUCACGUAUGAUGACAGAAACAGCUUCCCAUUAUUCCUGGAAACAUCUCAGUUACUACAACCUAUGAACGCCUUUGGUUUUUGCAUGGCCCCAGAGUAUCGAUAGCUUAUAGUCGGUGGCAGUUCAUCCACUACAUAUUCAACUGUUUCUUAUUCUGUCUUGCUUUCAGCUUCUAGGUUCACAGUUUUCAGCAGAACUUUUUAUUGUUAGUUCAUGACCUUGCAUUUUAUAGUCUUACCUGUACCUGCAUCUUAAUUUCUUGCAUUGUGAAGGUCAUCCAGUUGCAUUUUAAUCACUUCUGGGUGUUCCAGUCAAAUGAAUCAUUACUUUCUGUGUUUAAAAAUUUGCAUCAGUUGCAGCUUUAUUUUAUAAUUUAGUGGUCAACCACUGGAUUUCAACAGACUUCUGGGUGACAGUGGAAAAAAAUCACUCAAAUCAUGUCUUGUGUCAGGGCUGCCACCUAUAUAUUGCAAUAUUGUAGUAUUUCCAGACAUAUGAGGUAAAAAAAGCAUGAAUCAGUAGCAAAAUACGGUAAGAUUAUUUUUACUUAAAGCAUUUCAGUAUAGAGUGCCUCUUCUAUUCAGUAUUUUUUCAGUUAGUGCUUUCACAGCUUCCUUCAAAAUAAAAAUAAAGCCUUGUUAUACCAAACAUGAAAAGGAGGCUAUUCAUUUAGAACAUGAAGAGACAAACAAAGUGGGAAGUUUUUAAUACAACACAGUGUAUACUGAAAGAGUAGUGCAGCUAUAAUCAUUUUAAGAUGAACCUACAUAUUUCUUGGAAGUGAAUAAAAAGUCUUGAAUCAUAGCCCGAAUAUAACAUUCUGAUUGCUAUCAGUGGUACACAGCACUAAGUAUUUUAUUACUCAUUUUAUUACCUGUCAGGUACUGGCUAUUUAUGCUUACUGACGUUCGUGAUUACACAGCCCAGUAAUUGGAUACCUCGCCAGCUGCUAUUUAGAGUUUUGUGUAGAGAGGGAAGAAAAAUUGCUAAAAGCAAUUGAGAUAUCACUGCAGCAUUAUUGAUGAUGAAGGCAGAAAAACUUUUACUUGCUUUCAGCGGGGCUGCUGGGAACUGCUGGAAGGGGUGCAAACAGAUGGUGCCCCUCUGAGGAGGGCAAAAUUUAGGGGAGCCAUCGCUGUGCCACUGGAGGAGAGCUCCUGCAGGUCUGUGGUGCUCAGGCUGAGAGCAGCCGUGCCUGCAAGGACUUUGGGACCGUGGGUACCCAAAGCAAUAAAACGUCUUGCUAAAACUAUUUGUCUCUCACUGACAGGGUGGGAGAAGUACCACAGCUGCACCCGAGAUAAGCCUAAUUUCAGUUCUCCCAUGGAUUUCUUGGGUUAACUCGUCAGAUAGCAGUACCUCUGGCUGCAGUGCUGGCCUGUUCAGUGCUGCUGUGCUCUGAGGGUGUUACGGACCUGCUGUUCCCUAGGGCAGUGGGAGAUGGGCAGUGGGAAGGCCUAGUUUGUUUCUCAGGUCUGAAAUCUCCUGCACGCGGUGCAGGAGUCACACGCAGCUUUUCCCUGUGGUAAAUGUAAAAGAAACCUCAGCCUUGGUGCUUAAGGGACAUCAGCCUGUUGUUUUUUUGAUUCCUUAGCCCUUAGGACACAACGUGCUUCCAAGAGAGAGGUUAUGGCCCAGCUGUGCUUUCUGGCACCCAGAGCCCUCGUGUCCCUGCUGCAGCCUCUCCUACUGACUCCAGUGCCGCAGCCCUGCAGUCCUGCAUCCUGUUCCUCAUUCUCCUGUCGGUCUCUCCAGGUUUCCAAGUGGCAGUGACAGCAGUAAUAGCUGUAGCUGUAGGGCUUAGGCUGUUUAACCCAUAUUUGCCCUAGUUAGCAUUUCAGAGGAACAUUUGCUUCCCCUAGCCAUGCUACCAAGAUAACAAGUCUACAUUCUCUGACAGAUUUUAGUUUUAUUUUUUUUUUAAAACUGACCUUCCAGGAGUCCUACACUGUUUCUUCCUCUGUUCUGUCUAUGAAAUACUUAGUUUAUUGAGACUGAUUUUUGUCAAAAGUCCAUGAGAGUUGUUGGGCUUCUGAUUACUGUGUUAAUCCAGUCAAGGGAUGUCUGUAACAACAGCUGUCCUGCGGUUCCUGGUCUGCACUUUGAAACUGCGGUGGACUGGCUCUUUUGGGGAUCCACAUAGCACUGUCACAUGGAUUAGGGACAUGGUUUAGUGAUGGGCUUAGUAGUGUUAGGUGGUGGUUGGACUUGAGGAUCUUAAGGCCUUUUCCAACCUAAGUGAUUCUGAGAUUCCGUGAGAAACACAAUUGUAUUUGACCUGCUUGUGAAGGAGGAGAUAUGUAGGCUCCUGAAUUUUGAGCGCUUCCACCCCAGCUGGGGUGGAGCAGGCAGACUUCCACUUUCCUUAUGACUGGGGCAGGUGAAAUAAGAACUUGCCUGCAGUUCAUGUUCUCUUCUUUGUAAAGCCCAGAUUUGUGCUUUCCAGUGGGGAAGAAGCACUCAAGGUUAAAGUGCGUGGGCAGUUAGAAGUAUUCGUCACGUUUGUAUACACGUUUUAAUUAAAAGUGAAAUGGAAGUGGCUGACUUGGCAGGCAGGGAGAUUAGCAGCUUUACAGCUUCAUGUGGACAUGAGGGGAUAGUGUCAUUAGAACUGUAGCCUUGUGAGAUGCUGACUCUCCGUGCUUCUCUAAAGAGAGGAGAAGAAAUUUUGUUCAGAUCUGGUGAUACUGUUGGACUACUGUCAGGCAGGGGUAUGUCACAGCAUGAAGAGAAGAGCGGAAGGCAUCAGCAGUCCACUGUACACAUUCCUUUCCCUUACAAAGUCAAACCCUAGAAAAAUGCCUACAUAGAUGUUCCAGAACUUGACGUAAAUGUUGUCUAAAGAUCCUAUUUGCAUUCACUGUUUAAACAGCUCGACAAUAUUAUGAUGUGGUGUUUUAAAUGAAGACCAGAUACAAGUUCAGAUAAUUGCACCUUUGAGUGCAAAUUCUUAAGAAUGCAACUUUGGUUUUGUAAGCAGUCUGUACUUUUGUGACAGAUCAAUACAAACACAUGGAUCAUAUUUCCUAGACACACAGUCUAGAGUAAUUGCCACGGAGGCUAUGGGCCUAAAUUACUGGAUUGAACUUGUGAGUGGAAAGAGUCUCUCCAAGAGAUGUCAUUUUGAUUUCAUCCUAGACCCUGUGCCAUGCUCCCCAGAGCUUACUUUGACCCCUGGCCAAGUCAGUAGGGUAUUGUGAGUAUUGAGGACGUCCCUGGGCAUGCUCAGUGACCUUAUUACCUUCCAAAUUUAUAAACAAGGACUUCAUAAAAGAAGCAUCCCCGCUAUCUUAUUGGAAGUCACAGAAGCACUGCGGGAUCGUCAUUUCUUUGGAAGCUUUGGGCUUUCCUCCAUGCGCCAAGAGGCAGUUAGACUGAGAUCUCUCCAUCUGGCUCUGUGCUCUGGCAUCUCCUCACAUUGACGGCAUGGCUGUGGGCAAAAAGAAACAGAGUUAGACACAGUGAUGAGAACUGAUAACCAGAGAUAAUGUGAAGACACCCUCUCGAGCACUAUUUCAGAUGAUAGCGUUUCUUCUCUGCCACAGACACCAAAUCAGAAAUAUCUUCAUCCUAUUUCCAGUACGACCCUGUGUUGUAAAGGGUGUUUAGCUCCUGUGAAUAUCAAGUAACAGAACUCAGUGACUGCAGAGCUGAAGCAUAAAUAGAAAGAGGAACAAGCAGCAGUGAACCGCUGACACUUCAGCUGAGACUUGGCAAGCCCAUCUGGAAAUGCUUGUCCCAGCAACAAACAUCACAUUUGCACAGUACCUUCAUGAUUGCCUCUGUGUACAAAGUUUAUAUCAUCACUGACCUACUUUAUUUAUUUAUUUAUUUAUUUUAAUGCCGGCAGUGAAAAGGCAGAAGUUUAAUGUGAAGGGAAUUACAAUUCUUAAGUAUUUCAUGUCAUGCUGUAUUUUCCUAUGUGCGCAAACAUUGCCAUAUGCUCACUUAAUCUGUAAUGAACUGAGCCUGCAGCUGACCUGUGUGUUAACUUCCAGUGGGAAUCUGGCUCCUAAUGCCAUCUUUUGAAAGGAGACAUUCGACUUACUGGUGCAGCACCUCUGAUGUCAUCUGAGAAGGGGUGCAGAAACAUCGUGAUCUUAACUGUCAUCAAAUAUCCUCAUCUUUGGCAAGAUGUUUUUUUCUAUCCACUUAUUCCUGUCACAAAGGAUGCUGUGACUUGCUUUGCUUGGAAAUAGGUAAAUCUUCUCUGACAGAAAUUCCGGAUGUAUGAAACUUGUGAAUGAGCUUGAAGAUGGCAGAAACCACCUUCAGUGCUCUUCCCUUCUGUGCAUCACUAUUAAUUUCGAAGGGAUCUGGUGUGGCUCAGCACAGAGUUCGCCUGGAGGUGGUAAAGCUGCAGAAGUGGAAUGCAUCCUGGCUGCCAGGGCUGGGGCUGGGCCGUACGGACACGGUCGCUGCAGCCAACUGCCUGCGCCGGAGCAGGGAGUAGUGCAGCUGUACUGUGCGAGCGUGCUGGGACUCAUCAGCCGCGGCUGCGGCAGGACGUGCCUCAUGCCAUGGCUAAUUAGAGCAUCAGUGUACAUUGUUCAGUAAUUAGUAAAUUCUGCUAAGAAUAGGCAUUUUUAAUGGUCUCUUCACUGGUAUUCUUCCAUUAAAAAAGAUAAGUAGUUCUAUAA